rnacentral:rRNA from 1 species
UACGGAGGAGGCAAGCGUUAUCCGGAAUUAUUGGGCGUAAAGCGUCCGUAGGUGGCACUUCAAGUCUGUCGUCAAAGACUGGGGCUUAACCCUGGAAAGGCGGUGGAAACUGAAGCGCUAGAGUGCGGUAGGGGUAGAGGGAAUUCCCGGUGUAGCGGUGAAAUGCGUAGAGAUCGGGAAGAACACCAGUGGCGAAGGCGGCUGCCUGGACCAGCACUGACACUGAGGCACGAAAGCGUGGGGAGCAAACAGG